rnacentral:misc_RNA from 1 species
CUAACUUUAGACUCUGGAUGAUGUCAGAAUCUCAGUCAACAAGAUUUCUGCCAACAUUAGCAUAAAAAAAGAAUCUACAAACCUUGUUUCCUUAGCAUGCACGGCCACCACCAAUUGAACAGAAAAUCAGCUAAUCUAAUUAAGCUGUUAUUUACAAUAUAGAAAUUUCAAGAUUUACCAAAAACCGAAAAAUAAAAUGAACUUUCAUUGGUUUCUUAUUACCACAUGAUAGUAAUGAAUUCGAACUCUAUUAAAAAAUCUAUCAGGAAAAGCAAAACUUUUUUUGAGGGCUUAUAAUCAAGAGCAACAGUGUUCGUCUUAGGCCCAUUAAAGGGAUAAUGAUACGAUAAUCAAGUUUCUUCAAUAGUAAAUAACAAUAAUAGCAAAUACCACGACAGAGUUCAAUUUACAACGAGGGGUGUAAAAGUAAAAAAGCCCAAGCAACACUAAUACUACAUUUCGAUCAUCAGGAUCAGGGGGACGGUGGUGGCUCAUAGUUGGGUGGCUAGUCUUCGUAGACUCGACACUCAUCGGUCUCUGGAUUGUCCUGACAGAAAUACUCGAGAGGAUCCUGUUUCUCCAACUUAAGCCUGAAAUCGGCCUUGGCUUGGCUCACCUCUUCCACCUCAUCCCAUGCCACCUUGCACUCGUCGGAGGUCUGGUCUCCCUCGCACACCUCCUUCGCUUCCAUUACCUUCUUCUCUAUCAUCUCCGUAAGCUGCUUCUCCCUCAUCUGCGUCCCCUUGAACUUUGGUGCUCCUCCCAUCGCUCGCACCCUCAGAUUCAUAUUAGCUGCCUUACUUUCACUCCUCUUUAAGGCAAGUGAAUCGAGGAAAACUUUACAAUAAGCGUCAGAUGGCGUCGAGAAAGAUGAAGGAAGGAUCGACGUUUCUCGUCUUGGAGUGCUUAAAGCUGUGACGAAAGGGUAGGAUGCCAUCUUCUUCGAUUAACAGAUCCUCUUGUGCUCGCUUUCUUUUGCCUUUCUUGUUACAAGUGGGAGGACAUGAAGGUAAUUUUGAUGUUUGAUAGAUUGUUUUGGCUGUUUAGGACUU